rnacentral:misc_RNA from 1 species
GAUGAAGACGUAGCGAAAUGCGAUAAGUAAUGUGAAUUGCAGAAUUCAGUGAAUCAUCGAAUCUUUGAACGCACCUUGCACCCUUUGGCAUUCUGAAGGGUAUGCUCGUUUGAGUGUCAUUGUACUCUCACACUCCCGAUCUUUGCAUUGGGAGCAGUGGACUUGGGUUUGCUGCUUCACCGUCGCUUACCUCAAAUAGGUUAGUGCAACUCUUGGUUGGACAUAGUACGGCGUGAUAAGUGUUCUUCGCCGGUGCCUCGCAAAGAGGGUGGCCGAUCGGGAUGUUGUGCUCCAAACCGUCUUCGGACAAUCUCUGACGACUUGACCUCAAAUCGAGUAAGACUACCCGCUGAACUUAAGCAUAUCAAUAAGCGGAGGA